AACCAUUCUCACCUGCGGCUAGACCUGCGGAGGGAUCAUCAGUGGGAUAGUUUUAUGUUUUAGCCGUGUGAACGGUGCGGGGUGGGGUGUGGUCAGUUGGUCAGCUGGUCAGGCCUGCCUGGCCUGCCUGACCUGUGUGCACACCGCCACCCUCUGAUACUAACACCUACUACUCUAAUCACGCGCCGCGCUGGCGGCCACAAAUAUCCAGCACUAGAUACAAGCAGACAACUUUCAACA
rnacentral:misc_RNA from 1 species